UACAGAGGGUCUCAAGCGUUGUUCGGAUUCAUUGGGCGUAAAGGGUGCGUAGGCGGCGCGGUAAGUCGGGGUGUGAAAUCUCGGAGCUUAACUCCGAAACUGCAUUCGAUAACUGCCGUGCUUGAGGACUGGAGAGGAGACUGGAAUUUACGGUGUAGCGGUGAAAUGCGUAGAUAUCGUAAGGAAGACCAGUGGCGAAGGCGGGUCUCUGGACAGUUCCUGACGCUGAGGCACGAAGGUCAGGGGAGCAAACGGG
rnacentral:rRNA from 1 species